rnacentral:rRNA from 1 species
UUGCUCUCAAGAAGUUAGCGGCGGACGGGUGAGUAACACGUGGGUAACCUGCCCAUAAGACUGGGAUAACUCCGGGAAACCGGGGCUAAUACCGGAUAACAUUUUGAACUGCAUGGUUCGAAAUUGAAAGGCGGCUUCGGCUGUCACUUAUGGAUGGACCCGCGUCGCAUUAGCUAGUUGGUGAGGUAACGGCUCACCAAGGCAACGAUGCGUAGCCGACCUGAGAGGGUGAUCGGCCACACUGGGACUGAGACACGGCCCAGACUCCUACGGGAGGCAGCAGUAGGGAAUCUUCCGCAAUGGACGAAAGUCUGACGGAGCAACGCCGCGUGAGUGAUGAAGGCUUUCGGGUCGUAAAACUCUGUUGUUAGGGAAGAACAAGUGCUAGUUGAAUAAGCUGGCACCUUGACGGUACCUAACCAGAAAGCCACGGCUAACUACGUGCCAGCAGCCGCGGUAAUACGUAGGUGGCAAGCGUUAUCCGGAAUUAUUGGGCGUAAAGCGCGCGCAGGUGGUUUCUUAAGUCUGAUGUGAAAGCCCACGGCUCAACCGUGGAGGGUCAUUGGAAACUGGGAGACUUGAGUGCAGAAGAGGAAAGUGGAAUUCCAUGUGUAGCGGUGAAAUGCGUAGAGA